GAUGAACGCUGGCGGCGUGCCUAACACAUGCAAGUCGAACGGAGAUUUAACGCUGAUGAAGCUUCGGCAGAUUCUUGUUAAAUCUUAGUGGCGGACGGGUGAGUAACGCGUGGGCAACCUGCCUCAUACUGGGGGAUAACAGCUGGAAACGACUGUUAAUACCGCAUAAGCGCACAGCAUCGCAUGAUGCAGUGUGAAAAACUCCGGUGGUAUGAGAUGGGCCCGCGUCAGAUUAGCCAGUUGGCAGGGUAACGGCCUACCAAAGCGACGAUCUGUAGCCGGCCUGAGAGGGCGGACGGCCACAUUGGGACUGAGACACGGCCCAAACUCCUACGGGAGGCAGCAGUGGGGGAUAUUGCACAAUGGAGGAAACUCUGAUGCAGCGACGCCGCGUGAGUGAAGAAGUUUUCGGUAUGUAAAGCUCUAUCAGCAGGGAAGAAAGACUCGUAAGAGAGAUGACGGUACC
rnacentral:rRNA from 1 species